rnacentral:rRNA from 2 species
GGAAUAUUGCACAAUGGGGGAAACCCUGAUGCAGCAACGCCGCGUGAGUGAUGAAGGCCUUCGGGUUGUAAAGCUCUGUCUUUGGGGACGAUAAUGACGGUACCCAAGGAGGAAGCCACGGCUAACUACGUGCCAGCAGCCGCGGUAAUACGUAGGUGGCAAGCGUUGUCCGGAUUUACUGGGCGUAAAGGGUGCGUAGGUGGAUAUUUAAGUCAGAUGUGAAACCCCUAGGCUCAACCUAGGGACUGCAUUUGAAACUGGAUAUCUGGAGUGCAGGAGAGGUAAGUGGAAUUCCUAGUGUAGCGGUGAAAUGCGUAGAGAUUAGGAAGAACACCAGUGGCGAAGGCGACUUACUGGACUGUAACUGACACUGAGGCACGAAAGCGUGGGUAGCAAACAGGAUUAGAUACCCUGGUAGUCCACGCCGUAAACGAUGAGUACUAGGUGUAGGAGGUAUCGACUCCUUCUGUGCCGCAGUUAACACAAUAAGUACUCCGCCUGGGAAGUACGAUCGCAAGAUU